CGUCGAAUUCUACGCUCCUUGGUAUUGAAAUUCAAUUUUAGUGUCUCCCCAUAUUUAGUCUUUUAAUUUGUUAAAAUAUGAUCCGUUGAACUUUGUUUUAUGUGAGAUCUUUUACCCUUCCUGAUCUACUUUUUCUUUUUAGCUGUGUCUUUUUUUUUAUUUAAUAUGUUUUCACCUGUUUUUCUUUUUUGAAUUUGUAUUUUUGGUUUUACUUCUGAAGGUAGAGAUGGAGGUUGUGAAUCGAUAUCGCAUCAAGUGAUUACCUUGUUAUUUAUAUUGUUAUGUUGACUUGGCCUGUCGAUUGAGAUUCUGAAAUUUGGAUCUUAUCCUGGAGAUGAUGCAUGCUAUGAAUCUAAUGAAGGAAUCGAUUGAGAUUAUUUGUGGUGAAUGUUCUCUUUUUCUGUUUGAUAUGGGAUUGAAGUAUUAAAUGUAAUUGAUCCACAAAAAACCAUAAGGUCUUAGUUGUUUUAACCUCAACUGCGACAUCACUCUAUUAUUUAAGUAAUCCUGCCUAUGAACCACUACUGCCAGUGCACAGCCACUACUGUUACUGUUCUUCCCACCAUCUCUAAUACUGCCGCUACCCAUUAUGAUGGGCGUGUUGCUGAAUGAUUUAUUUUAUGUUAGCAAUUUCAUUGUUCUAAACAUAAAGGUGACGUUAUUCCGUUACGUUUAACCUUCUUUUUAUGAUCAAUUUUUAUUAACAUGAUAGCUAUUCAAGGGGUUUCGAAGCUCUAGUUGAGCUUGAUUUGGGCACAUGUUAACUGGUGCAUCUUGAGAACUGCUUUACUUAAUUUAUUUUUUUAGAGCUAUGUUAUGACUGCUUAGUUUUAGAAAGCAAGAAGAUGUAUCAAAUAUAUAAGAAAAGUGCGGCAUAUGAACAAUGGUACUAUAUUUGAAAGAGAACUUUAAGAACCUUUAGGCAGAUAGAUAACGUGUCCUUUCUCAUCGGCAAUGUUGCGACCUUUUCAAUAGAUUUUAUUUUGGCUUUUGUACAAUAACUUGUGAUUUGAUGAACAUUUAAAUUCCUUCAACCAAACUGUGCUUAGGAUGGAAUGCUGAUCUUGUGUAAUGCUGAUCUUGUGUCUUUUCUUUCAGGUGUGGUCACUGCAAAAAGCUUGCUCCUGAGUAUGAGAAAGCUGCAUCCAUAUUGCAUAGUCAUGACCCUCCAGUUGUUUUGGCCAAAAUUGAUGCCAAUGAGGAGGCGAAUAAAGAUCUUGCAACCCAAUAUGAGAUUAAGGGAUUCCCAACUCUCAAAAUUUUGAGAAAUGGAGGGAAAUCAAUUCAAGAGUAUAAAGGCCCUCGUGAGGCAGAUGGCAUUGUUGAGUAUUUGAAGAAACAAAGUGGCCCUGCUUCUGUUGAAAUAAAAUCAAAAGAAGAUGCUAGUAGUUUCAUUGGUGACAAGAAGAUAGUUAUUGUUGGGGUGUUCCCUAAGUUCUCUGGACAGGAGUUUGAGAACUUUUUGGCUGUUGCAGAUAAAUUGCGCUCUGACUAUGAGUUUGGUCAUACGUUGGAUGCUAAAAACCUUCCUAGUGGGGAAUCAUCCGUCACUGGACCCCUUGUUAGGCUGUUCAAGCCAUUUGAUGAACUCUUUGUUGAUUUUCAGGACUUUAAUGUGGAUGUCCUAGAGAAGUUUGUAGAAGAAUCUAGCAUUCCCAUUGUUACUGUCUUUAACAAUGACCCCAUCAAUCAUCCUUAUGUUAUCAAAUUUUUCAAUAGUCCCAAUGCUAAGGCUAUGUUGUUUACGAACUUCAGUAGUGAGGCUUCAGAUUCUUUCAAAACGAAGUAUCAUGAAACAGCUCAGCAACUCAAAGGACAGGGCAUAGUCUUUUUGUUGGGAGAUGUUGAGGCUAGUCAAGGUGCCUUCCAGUAUUUUGGAGUCAAAGAGGACCAAGUGCCUCUCAUCAUCAUACAAACUAAUGAUGGACAGAAAUACCUGAAGCCAAACCUGGAGCCUGAUCAUAUUGCUCCGUGGUUGAAGGAAUACAAGGAAGGUAAAUUGCUGCCAUACAAGAAAUCUGAACCUGUCCCUGAAGUGAACAAUGAGCCUGUGAAAGUUGUGGUUGCUGAUAGUCUCCAGGACAUAGUUAUCAACUCUGGAAAAAAUGGUUUGUAUGACCAAUUAUUUGUGUGGUAUAUCAUUUCAUUUUUCUUUAGUAUAUUGGUAAAAUUUGAUGCAAUUUUCUGUGUACUUUUCCAAUGGUUUUUAAUGGCUUUCAGCAUGUGAAUUUGUUUGAGCACUUCCGCAUUAAAUGCUCGAAAUUUAUUUGAUAAUGCUCUGAUUGUACAAAUCAUCAUCCACAAUAUGCUCUCUUGUACAGAUUGUCAGCAUUUUAUUGAUUUGUCCUUGAUAAUGUAGGACUUUGGACUUUCUGCCUAGCGAAAGCCUCCAAAAAUUUCUUCUUCCCCCUCUUCUUCUCUAAUGCCUUUUUCAAAGAACCUUACGGAAAUUUCCUAAAAUUUUUUGCUGGCUUUUCUCUUCUUGUGCUAUCUAAUACCUUUUUCUCUUCAUCUUUUAACUUGACAUGUCUCUAGACUUGCACAUGAUAUGUUGUCAUGUCUUACUCCGCAGUUCUUCUAGAGUUUUAUGCUCCCUGGUGUGGACACUGCAAAAAAUUGGCUCCAAUCUUGGAUGAAGUUGCCAUUUCAUACCAGAGUGAUCCUGAUGUUGUUAUUGCAAAGCUUGUAAGUGUUGUACCUCUCUCUCGUUGAAUAAGUGUUAUUUAUUAUGUCUUAAAAGGUAUUAAGUUAAUUUCACUUGCUUUUGUCAUUUGCACCAUCAAUCGGGUUUUUGGUUGUAUUCUUACAUCAAAGGGUGCAAUGGUAGGGGUAAUGGAGAUAAUUAAUUCCCAUUCAAGCAGUCAAACACUUAUAAUGAUAAAUUAACAGUGGUUAUAAUUGGGUAUGCCAUCUUAUGUUGUUGUGUCAAAACAGGUUGGCCCCAUGUGGGACCCACUUAGUUUGUGAGAGGACCUGCACAUGUGCCGCUCCUAUGCUAUAAAAUCACUUGCAGAAUUUCAGAUGAAGAUUUGCCUGUCUGCAUUUUAUGCUUUUCCUCACACUUGAUGUGCUUCUGUUUUGGUUAAUGCAUGGUCGCUGUAUAAUGUUUACAAUUCCGUAAAUUUACAAUGGGAGAUUAUGGAUUAAUCUUUAUACUACUACUGCAUAAUGCUUAUUAAAAAUCCAUUCUUGACAACAUUUCUUCUUUGACACGUUUUAGGAUGCAACUGCAAAUGAUAUCCCAAACGAUACUUUCGACGUCAAGGGAUACCCCGCUGUGUACUUCAGGUCAGCAAGUGGAAAGCUGGUGCAGUAUGAAGGCGAUAGAACAAAAGAAGAUAUCAUUGGUUUCAUUGAGAAGAAUCGGGAUAAAGCUAAUGUUGCUCAGGAAGAAUCGACCAAGGGAAAAGAUGAGCUCUAAAUCUUAUACCAAUUUUGGGCUUAAUGUACGAAAAGUUAUGUCAGCAUAAUCAAAUUAUUAGUUUUCAUAGACCCUUCAGGGUUAGGAAAAGAAAAUAACCGUGAUCGUGUAAGUUAGAGGACUUCUCCUCAAAAUACUCCUGGAUUUUCACAUGAUUUUUCUUGAUUUCGUCCUAGCUAUAGAUUGAAACCGAGAUCUUAUACAUUGAUAGUGCUUCAAAUCUGAGACAUCCUAAACCUUCAGUUGUCAAAAUAUUUGAUACGAAGUGUUUUUAUGUCUCGUCUUUGAUUCCUCCAUCAUGCUCACGCUCACCGUGGCAGCUUGUGGCCGUCAUUCAUGACAGAUUAUAAAAAAUAAUACAUCGGACGCUCGCAGAAAACCAGUUACAGUUAGGGGUGUAAAUGAAUCAAGGAUAACAGUAAAAAAUUGAUUUGGUUUGGUUUAGUUCAUUUUUUAAAUGAGUUUAAACUCAGUAUUAUUUGGCUUGAGUUUAAGCUCUACUUAUUGAAUAGGUUUGCAAGCCGAUUUAGUAAAUAAG
rnacentral:misc_RNA from 1 species